GCUGGAGGUGGAACUGUAAGAGCAGAGAGGAGGAGAAGGCUCACCAUGAAGACAAAAGAAGUCCUGAGCCUUGGAUUUUCUUCCUCUAGGGCUUUGUGGACCCACAGAUUGGUAGAAGUUCUGUGAGGGCUGACUUCUCCCCAUCUGUCCCAGAUGGAUCCCUUAAGGCUCAGGACACCUCAGAGGACUGGUGCAUGGGCUGCAGCCAGCCUGACCCAGCUCUAUAAAGAAGCUCACCCUUUACAGAUGCCCCAGAGAGGCCCCCAUCCUGCCCUGCAGCCAGCUUCCUGGGCAAGUGGGAUCAGGCACUCGGGGUCUCCCUCCUCCAGGGUUUCCUGAAACAGGAUGCAUUCAGCCCUUGUAGAGUUGCUGGGGAAGUGGAAGGAAAACAGAGGUGACUCUUGAAGCCCCAGGAGCUGACCUUAGAUCUUGACACUCCUGGUGUGUGCAAAGGUCUGAGGAGACGGCCAGAUUGAGGUAAAGCAGUAAAAAUCCGUGCUUGUCAGGAAAGUAGCAAGAGCCGAGUUCUACACUAACCAUUGGCUGGCCUGGGGCAGCCUGCAGCUGCACAACUGCCUCGUACAAUGGCAUGGACAAGCAGUGUCGGUGACGUAGCAGGCCGCUGGGGACCUGGGAGACAUCCUGCUGCUGCAGGAGUCCUGUGCAGAGCAGAGGAGAGAGCAGUUUGGCAAGUGCAGGGGUCCCACUCUUCUUUUGGUUGGUGGCAGGGAGCAGGUGGGGCCUAACCUGGGUGGACAGUGUCUACCUCCCUUCUGUGCAUUUUGCAUUGGCCUUAAUUGGUUCUCCCGGGAUAGUCACGAAAGCCCGACCUUUGUUCCAGGUAAAGUGCUGCAUGUUUCAUGUGUACAGCUCAUUUAAUCUUCACAGGACCUUAUGAAGUAGUUAUUAUAUCUAUUAUCAUCACAGAAAAGAACACUGAGCCUCAGAGAGGUCAAGCAAUUGGCCCAAGAUCACACAGCCUGCAAGAAACAGAGAUGGGACUCAGACCCUGGUCUAUUUGGCUCCCAUGUGCCUUACUACUAUGUUAUACCCACCCCUCCAGGAAUUUCAAGUCCCAAGAAAUGGCCUCCAGAAGGAAAUCCUUUGCCAUCCCCCUAACUUGAGUAUUCAGUGAUUUCUGGAAUAGAACUUGCCUGUUACAGAAAUGGGAAAAAUAUGAAGACACAUGCAAUAAAAAUAAAAACUAAAUUUAGAAUGAAGAGGAGACACAACCUAGGUAAAAUUUAAUUUUCAUUUUGGCUCAUAGGUAAUUUUAUCCUGAAGUGUACUAGGGAUAAUGAUGGCAUGCUGUUUCACUAGAGUAACUGAGUGAAAACAUAAUAAUGAUGAAAAUAAUGAACAUAAUUUUUUAAAAAUUCACCUUGUAGCUUUGUUAUCUAUAGAUGAUGUCAUUAAAAGUUCUGAGAAAUAAAUAUUACUAAUUCAAGUUUACAGAUGAGAAAAAGGAAGAUCAGAGGAGAUAAGGGAUUUGCCCAAUGCUAAUCAAUGAGUAAGGGAAAUGACCAGCGUUGGACCUCCGAAUCCGAGUGUAAUACAUCUUUCUCUGCAGAACUUUGACUCCUUUUUCUUUCUCAUUCUCUAUUCUUUGCCUUCUGGGAUGCCAAUUGCAUGUUUGUUAGACCUUCUCUCUGUGUUUUGAGCAUCUCUUAUAAUCUGCUCAUUUCUUUCUUCCAUAUGCCGUUCAAUAUACAUAUUUUUUUCUAUUGGCAUGUCUUGAAGUUCAGGGAUUUGACUGCUGCUAUGUUCUAUCCACUGUUAAACUCAUCUAGGGAGUUCUUACUUUCAGAUAUUGCAGUUCUAGAAUGUCCAUUUGCUUCUUUUUUUUUAUAAAUUCCAAUCCUCUGUCAAAAUUACUUAUCUUUCCAUCCGUUUUUUUCAAACUUUCCCUUAUUUUUUUAAAAAAAUAUUUUAAAUAAUUUCCUUCAAAUCCUUCUCUGCUAACUCUAACCAUUGGAUACUUUGUGCAUCUGCUUUAUUGUAUGUCUUCCCAUUUAUUGUGGGUCACAUUUUCCUACUUCUUGCAUCUCAUUACUUAGGGUUGUUUGUCAGAUGUUGUUGUUGUUAUGCAUAAAAGACCCGCAGCUACUGAAGUUGAUGUUCUUCUCCCCGAGAAAAAGUUUGCCUUUUCCUUAGCUAGGCAGACAGUACAGGGGGUAUCACUGGAUGCUGUGAGGAAGUGAACUAGAUCACGGCUGGGACUGCAGCUGGGUGUAACUCACUCUGGUUUUGACCAUCUCCUGGGGGACACAUGGGGCACAGGUAGCAUGGACCCCUUUCUCUAGUGCAGGCUUGUCCAACCUGUGGCCCACAGGCUGCAUGAAGCCCAGGACGGCUUUGAAUGCAGCUCAACACAAAUUCAUAAACUUUCUUAAAACACUAUGAGUUUUUUUGCAAAUUUCUUUUUUUAGCUCAUCAGCUACUGUUAGUGUAUUUUAUGUGUGGCCCAAGACAAUUCUUCUUCUUCUGUAGUGGCCCAGAAAAACCAAAAGAUUGGACACCCCUGCUCUCAAGGGACUUUGACUCUUAAGGAACAUGAUACUGAGGGGGAUUUGACUCAUCUCUCCCAGCCCAGCCCCCUUCCUGUAUAAACCAGCCUCUAUCCCAAACCUUCAACAAAGCUGAGUCAAGUUCUCCUAGGCUUUGGAUUGAGCUCCUAUUGUGUCUCUGUCACCUCUUCCCCGAAAGCUGAGCUCUUUAACCUCCACAUCAUGUGGAUUCAAAAUCUGCCAGGUGUUCUGAUUGGGGCCCCGCUGGGUGUGGUUGUCAGCCUCUUCUUCUACUGUGACUUUGACUCCUAGGCACUCUGAGGCUAUGGGAGAUUUCACAAUUCCUGGCUGGCUCAUCCCCUCAGUGUUCUGUGCCACCCCAGAUGCAAUAACUGCCCAGCGGGGAAGGUCAGCCAUGCUUUAGGGACUUCUGGAUGUUCCAUUCUUUGCCAGCCUGCAGGGCCCUGGGUCUCCUCUCUCUUUUCUUCUGCUCGCAGUAAGCCCACUCUUUAGAUGGCCUCAGCAAAUGCCCCUUGGAAAGAAAACUGCCAGCACACUCAUUUCACUCUGCGGGAGCUAUUCCCCUCUGGAAUGUUCAUUCUUUUAGUCUCUUUUGCCUCUAUGAUUCUCCAUACUGUUUAUAAAAACAUGAUUUUUGUGAUACAUCAUUUUUCCCCCUAGCUGUUGCAGUCAGAGGAAUGCCUUGCUAAAUCUUACUCAAAGGCGCAAGUUGGAAAACUGACGGUUAAUUUAUUUUUUCAUCAGUGAGAGCACACCGAGUCAUAUUUUUUGCCAAUAUUUUAUUAUGAAAGUUUGCAAGCAUACAGCAAAGUUGAAAGAAGUUUACAAUCAACAACUCACAUACACAGCAGUGUGUCUGUAAACUGGCUCUCUGGAGGGAAAACAAAAAAUCUGAUUUGUAUUGUUUGCUGAUUUCUGUGGUGUGAAUGUUUUUGUCUUUGCUAAUUUCAAGUUACCAAUGUGACGUGGGGGAGAUUUGUGCAAUAUCAGCUCUGGGGAGCGUAUGUGAGCCAGCUCAGGCCCACCACUGCCUGGAGCCAUCACUUAGAAUCUGUCACCAACAUCUUAGGGUGCUUGUUGAGUCAUGUGUGUAUCUUGCCCUCUAUCCACUGUCAAUCCAUCUUAUGUUUAAAAUGUAUUUCAAUGUAAAUUACAGAUAUAAGAAUAAUUCUUUCUUCUUCAACAUUAACUAGAGUUGGUUCACUAUUUGUUUUUCACUAACUUGCUUUUACUAAUUAAUUUUUUACUAUUUGUUUUGAUGUAAAAUGAAAUCUUAGUCUUAAUUGUGCAUUCACUGAGUUUUGACAAAUCCAUACACCUGUGUAAUCCAGUCCCUAUCAAGAUAUAGAAUACCAUUACUCCAGAAAUUUCCUUUAAAGCUUGGCCAACUAAAAUUUUCAGCUUUUUGGGACAUGGACUGUUACUAAACAAGGCCUCCUUCAUUAUACUUGACCAAAUGAUCAUUCCACCCUAAAUGCAUGUCUUUAUAAUUGUUCAAUUUUGCACUCACCAGGAUGAAUGAUCAGAAAUUUGCUAAUACAAAACUUUGAAAGUAGAUGCACCAUAAUAGGCUGAAAGCUUCAGUACCCAAAGUGUACACCCAUGUUGAGUCAUGCCAAGAAAACAUCACAGACAUUAAACACAGACCAAACCCUCAGUCCCCAGGAAACAAGGGGACGUACAAGCAACCUCACAUCCAUCCCUUCUGAUUCUCUGAAGCUCCAGCUCCCACACAAAGUACAUGUGAAUCAUUCUGAUAAUAAUCCCAUGACAUAGUUGUCAUCCCAAAGAACAAGCCUUUCCAACCUCCUGCCCUGGCUGAUUCGGACGACACCUCACUUGGCAAUAUAUGCAUUUGGCUUCCACCUGCCAUAAGUCAAGGAAAAAUAUCAGGCAAUGGUGGAAAACAAAAUCCAGGAAAAUAUUCACCAAGACAAAGGAGAAAGCAAUCAUUUGCCUUCAGUUAUGGGGAAGGAUAUUUUAGGCUCAAGUGGUGAGAAAUAUUGGACAGUGUUUCAGUUCUCAACCACUAAACCAUGUUCCAGAUGAAGAAGGCAGGUUUGGAGAAAAGCAAAUAGAAUCUCUCACCUGAUGGGCCAAACUAGAAAACAUUUUCAAAAACAAUUUCAUAUAUUUGAGAUAUUAACCACGACAGUAAUUGGGACAUAGGCCUGUCUUUUAUUAUUUGAGAGCUGCUAAGAUUAUGAUACCUUGCCCAUAUGUCACAGCUGAUGAAGCUUUUGUGCUUCGCUACUUAAAUUCUACCACUGAUAUCUCACUCACCAGACCUGUGAGAAUGGAUGAUGCAGAUUUGUUUAACCAUUAGAGCUGUGUAAUAAUUAAAUGGUUUAUUGCUAGAAGGUUCCAUAUUUCAUGACUUCAUGACCACAUGACUCUCUAGCGACCAGAUUUUCCAAGGUGAGUUUGGGUCAUUUUCAUUUGCCAAAUAAAAAUAUGAUACCCAGAGAUAAAGAAUAUUCAAGAAUGUGUUAUUAUUUAGCUCAUUCAACAAAUGUGUAUAUUUAUAUAUUUACUUCUGAUCUCUUUUUCACACAUCAACAGAGUUAUGCUUUGUAGAAUAAUGAUUUGUGAACAAUACCAUUUCCCUGCUAUUGCACAUUUAUGGUGUUUCCAAUUUCUUCAUACGACAGGUAUUGCCACAAUAAAUAACAAGGCAUAGAAAGCGUUCUCUGUAUAUUGGGUUAUUACUUAAGCAUAGAUCGAGGGAUGUAAACCUUUUUAAUACCCUUGAGCAACAUAAUAAAAUUCCCUUCCUAAAAGACUGUAUAAAUUUACAAACCUAUUUUAAAAAGUCUCUGAGCGUCCAUUUCACUGCAGCCUUACCAGCACAGAGUGAUGGUAAUAUAUUGAACAUGUCAAGUUUGAGUAGGGCACGCAGAUCCAGGCUGGAUAUUACCACUCCAACUUUGGAGAAUGUUCUGAAACAGGCCCUGAUCAGUAGACUUAGCUGGGUGAACUUUAAGGUCCCUGCUAAACUUCUAUGAUUAUAUUUGCAAUCAAAUUUUAAUUAUGACACAGCUAGUUAUACUAUGAUUGUUUUAAUAAUACAGCAAUUAUUUUCCAUAAAAUAUUACUAAAAAUAUGCAGAAAAUGCCUGAAUUAGUUCAUAUGAUAGAUAUUGGUAUAAUCUUUUGGUUUUCAGGAUAUUUUGAAGACUAAAGUGGGCAUGCUUACAAUUAAUUGAUUUAAGAUGCAAAUUAUUUUUACUGUUUAGGUAUAUAUAUGUGUGUAUAUAUAUAUCUAAUAUAUAUAUAGGUGAUAUGUUUGCUUGGGCUGCCAUAACAAAAUACCACAAACUGGGUGGUUUAAACAAUAGAAAUUUAUUUCUCACAGUUCUGGAGGCUAGAGGUCCAAGAUCAGGGUGCCAGCAUGGAUGAGCUCUGGUGAGGAUUCUGUUCCUCACUUACAGAUGGCCACCUUCUUGCUGUGUCAAUGAGGUGUUAAAUGAGGACAUAAUAAAAGGAGAGAGAGUUGAAGAGACAGAGUGGGGAGGGUUGGGGAGAGAUAGACAUAUCUUAUAAGGCCAUAGUCCUAUUGGAUUAGUGUUCCACGUUUAGGACUUCAUUUAGCCUGAAUCACCUCCUGAAGACUCUUUCUCCAUAUAUAGUCACAUUGGGAGUUAAGGCUUCAAUGUAUAAUUUGGGGGAAACACAUUUUAAUCCACAGCAGUAUGCAUCUCCAAUAAAAAUGUAUGGUUGGGAUAAUAGUUGAACAAUACUAAAGCAUAUCUUUUUGAGUAUAAAUCGUCAAGUUGAUUUUGUUUUCAGUCUCAAGUGUUUUUCUAUGACUUCUUGUCAAGUCUCCUUCUAGGUCACCAGCUGGGAUGGGAGGCCAACUCUCCAAAUCAGAAGAGGUAAGCAGUUGUUACUGAGGAGUUGACUUCCUUCCCAUUUUGUUCCCUUCAGAUUUGGGAUUUAUGUUAAGACCUUGUUAUGAUUAUCUAGUGCUACAUAACAAAUCGUUCCAAAAUUUAGUGGCUGAAAACAAUGGCAAUCAUUUUACUAUCUGUUACAGUUUUUCUGGGUCAGGAAUUUGAGCAGGACUUGCCUACGUGAUUUUGGCUUGAGGACUCUCACAUGGUGGUAAUAGAUGGAAGUUGAAACUGGAGCAGAGGAGCAGAAGUGGCUGGAGUGGCAGGAACUGGCCAGGCAUCUCUUCCUCUCUGGAUAUAUAGACACUGGGCCUCUUCAUCGGGUCUUUCUGCAGGGCUGGUUGUGCUUCCUCACUGCAUGGUGGCUCAGGGCAGUCAGACCACCUGCGUGGUGGCUCAGCACUCCAGCACAGUGUCCCAUCACUCAAGGUAGAAGCUGCAUUGUCCUCUAGGGCUUAGCCUCUGAAGCCAUGCAGCGUCACUUCCUGAGCUUCCUUGUAACCACUUCCUGUUGGUUAUAAGUGAGGCACAAGCCCAUCCAAAUUCAAAGGAAGAAGAGUUAGACUCCAUCACUUAAUAGGAACGUGGCAAGAUUCUAGAAGAGCAAAUGGGAUAAGAAUUAUUGUUGCAUUCAUCUUAGAAAAAUACAAUCCGCUACAAAGCCCCCUCAUGGAGCACCCAGAUCUGAGAAGGGGGUGCUUUCCACUAAAGUCUCUGCCUCCAUUUUCCACUUCCUCUGCUUCCUUCUCCUUCUUGUGUUCUCCAUGAGCAUUAAACCAAAAUAAACAGUUCUGAGUACCCCUUUUAAUCAAGAUGUGUGAAAAAAUGUGGAAGCUCAUCCUUGGAAGAAUAAUAAUAGAAACUAGCUUUAUUUAUCCUGGGUAAGAGACGUAAGAGGAGAUGAUGGGAUCACUAUCCCAGCACAUGUGAAAGACGGGAACAGGCUUGUCCUGGGCUGCUCCAGAGGGUGGGUGGUACAGGAUUUUUCACAGUCCUGGAGAAACUCAGAGGCUUCCUUGGCUGACCACUUUUUUUUUUCUCUUUUUCAGCUUUAUUGAAAAACAAAUGACAAAUAAAAGUUGUAUAUAUUCAAGGUAUACAAUGUGAUGCUUUGAUACAUUGUGAAAUGAUGACCUCAGUCAAGCUAAUUAAGAUAUCCAUCACUUCCUGGAGGUACCUUUGUGUCUAUAUGUGGUGAGAAUACUUACAACCUACUCUCUGAAAAUUUGAAACAUACAACCCAUUGUUAUUAACUACAGUCACCUGAUGGAUAAGAGAGCUCUUGGCUAGUAUAAAUAGAGCAAGUAUUUUCCAUAAAAAUAUGGAAAAUAAGCAAGUGUUUUCCAUAAAUAGAGCAAGUAUUUUCCAUAAAAUAUCACUAAAAAUAUGCAGGAAAGGCCUGAAUUAGUUCAUAUGGCAGAUAUUGGUAUAAUCUUUUGGUUUUCAGGAUUUUUUGAAGUCUAAAGUGGGCAUGCUUACAAUAAAUUAAUUUAAAAGUGGUAUCAGUUUUAUAUGUUCUGCAUACAAUUUUCUUUUUAAGAGUACCCUGUGGGUUAAAAUAUAUUUACAGAGCAACCUCUCCUAACAAAAGAAAAUUUCAGACCAUUAGGCUUGGUCAGAUAAAUGAAUGUUAGAGGGGCAAAAUCAGGUGUAGCAAAGAUUAGUCCAUUGCAGAAAGAAACUAGGACUGUGCCUCUCCAAAUAGGAGAGUACCAAAGAGGGUACACCCCUGUACCCCAGGGGUGUCUAGUAGUGUGCCUUUGGGUCCUAGAAGAUGUAGAAUAAGUAUGGUACAUCAUCACAACAAGUAAUUUAGGACUGUUUUGCAAUAAAACAAUCAAUAUUUAUUAUGCAGUUGAUGCAAUACUCACAUAUAUUUUAAAUUAGAUGCUCUAUGAGAAUUUUCCAGUUGCUAAUAGCUAGGCAGGUGACCCUCCUACAUUCCCCUAGGAUACUGUGUAGACAAGUUUGUAUUGACAAAAAUAAGAAUGUAGACUGAAGAGCAAAACUGUUGGGUUCAAAUCCUGGCUCUGUGACUUACUAGUUAUAUAACCCUGGGCAACUUAACCUGUUCAUGCCUUAGUUUCCUCAUCUCUGAAAUGGAGAUAUUAAUAAUAAUAAUAUUCACCUCAUGGGGUGAUUGAAAGAACAAAAUGAGUUAAUUUUAGUGUUUAAAGGAGUGCCUUGCGUGUGGCAAGUACCAUGCAGAUGCUCAUUAAAUAAAAGCUUGAGAACUAUGAAUGAGCCUCUCCGAGAAGGUCAAGAAUGGGCACAUAGUCUGGGUGAUCAUGAGCAGAGGCUGGAAGUGAUGCAUUCUGUUGAAGGAAUUGUUCAUGGGGUGGCCACUCCUUCAAAAGGAAUUAUAAAAAUCUAAGACUUGAAGCUGAGAUCCCCCACCUGCUGGGUGGUGUUUGAUGGUCUAAACUGGGGGUUUGCAAACUCUUUCAGCAAAGGGCCAAGUAGUAUAUCCUUUAGAAUUGUGGGUCAUCCAGUCUUUGUCACAUUUGUUCAACUCUGCCAUUGUAGUGUGAAAGUAGCCAUGGAUGAUAUAUACCUGAAUUAAAUGGACUGUUGUGCUGGGCUGGGGCCACAGUCCAUAGUUUGCUGCUGCUUGUCUAGAUCCUGCGGGGCCUGAGCAAGUGAGCUGGAAAUAAGGUGGCUGUUGAGGGGGCUGAGGAGCAACAGGAAGUGAGAAGGGAAGGGAGAUGGGUGCAGCACCACUACAAUGCCACUUCCUUCCUGGGGUGAACUCACUUAGACUUUGAAUAGGUUCUCUGCAGAGAUGACUGAGACACUUGGAGCCAUGCGCCUGCAGAGACACAGUGGGGGACCAUGUUAGAAAUGGGAGUAACAAGUCAUUCAUUCUUACUAUAUGUUUCGUUAUUGCAUGGCAAAGGCUUUGAAAAGAAAGCUGAGUCUUUUAUUUUCCUGUGAAUCAGCUCCGAGCCCCUGGAACAAUGUUGUUCAUUCUGCGGAUGCUCAGCAAGCCCUUGCUGACUGUCUUUAUUUCUUCACCUGCAAUAAGAUCCCCCCAGGCCCAUAUGGAAACGUAAAUGUUCUUGAGGGACUAAUUCAGUGAGACUCUUCCAGGGGAAGUUCAGUCCUCCUGGGAAGUGAUUACACACUGAUGGAAUUUUUGCACACUGGAUGGAAAGAUGAUCUUUGCCUCUUGGCUGUGUCACAGUAAUAAGUGGGAGACUGAUUAUUUCUAAGAGUGCAGCUCUUCCCGGCACUGAUAAGAAUGGAAUGCAGCGCUACCAUGGAGAUUCGGGUCACUAAUUAGUCCCAGAAGCCUCUAGGCCUUGAAUCACUGUUAUAUUAAUUAUGCAUCAAAUUAGAAUGUUUGCAAAGGCUCAGAGCCAACUGUACUGCAGAACCCGGUGACAGCAUGGAGAGAUCAAGGAGUGUCCCGCCCAGCACACUGCAGGGACCAGCAGACAAAUCCACGCGGCCUGCCUGAGCGUGCAGUGACCCCGCCUGAUCUCUGAUACAGCUGUUCGCAACUCCUGCCAGAGAGCUUGUUAUCGGCACAGGGUGGACAAAAGAAGGAAAGGAAGAGAACGAUGGCUUCCCCUCAGUUCCAUAAUCUAAGCUCUACUGCGGUAAUAUCCAGCUGAGAAAAGACACAGGACAAUCAUUUGGGCACUUUAUUUCCAUGGUAACAAAUAGAAGAUUCUUCCAGAUGUUUGCUAACAUCGUGGAGGUAACAUGUCUGGACCGUUGUCUGAUAUUCAGUUUUUAUAGCUGGGGAGACAUGGCUUUAGCUUUGGGUAAACUAUUCUAUCUCUUCCUCCUCUUCCUCUGCCUCCUUCUCCUUCUUGUGUUCUCCAUGAGCAUAAAACCAAAAUAUACUUGAUGCUUUGUUGUAAAAUAAACAGAUGAUAAAUAGCAGUCUCUGUGACUGUUGGGUUAUAAUUCCAUCGAGGGCUGGGGUUGAAGUCAUAAACCACAAGAAGUGAAGCAUGACCCACAAAUAGCCUUCAGGAUGGAAUUACAGCCCCAUAAUUCAGAGUAGCCCUUUGAAAAAAUAAUUCCUAAACCUAGCUAUAAUUUGGGGAAAGAGCCACGACAGUGGUGACGUCUUCUCUAAUCAGUUCAUCAGUAGACAAAUUACUCCCCUUCGUUAUUCUGAUGAUAUUUAUUAACGUUGGGGUGAGCACCCAAUCUGUUUUCUAGGAGGUUACUGUUGAAACCAGGUAGCAGUCGCCCAAACAGAACCAAAGAAAGGGAAACUGGAGUCUCACAGUAAGAAAGUUCUCACCACAGAUGAAGGUCAAUGAGCAUGAGGUGAGAAGAGACAUUCAUUACUUUGGAACUGAUGAGAAAUAUUGAUUCCUGACCACAGGAGUAGUGGCCGAGUUUGUUUUGCGUGGAGUGUGGCAUAAAUUCCGUCCCUGUUCUGCAUCUUACUACUUCUCUAAAUGUCUUUGCUAUUUUCAAAACUGAUUCUGCUUGAUCUCAUAAUUCAUUAAAGCAAGUUGAUCUCAUGCA